AUCCUGGCUCAGGAUGAACGCUAGCGAUAGGCCUAACACAUGCAAGUCGAGGGGCAGCAUAGAGUAGCAAUACUUUGAUGGCGACCGGCGCACGGGUGAGUAACACGUAUGCAACCUACCUACAUCAGGGGAAUAACCCGGAGAAAUUCGGACUAAUACCGCAUAAUACAGGGAUGCCGCAUGGCAAUAUUUGUUAAAGAUUUAUCGGAUGUAGAUGGGCAUGCGUUCCAUUAGCUAGUUGGUAAGGUAACGGCUUACCAAGGCAACGAUGGAUAGGGGAACUGAGAGGUUUGUCCCCCACACUGGAACUGAGACACGGACCAGACUCCUACGGGAGGCAGCAGUGAGGAAUAUUGGUCAAUGGACGAGAGUCUGAACCAGCCAAAUCGCGUGAAGGAAGACUGCCCUACGGGUUGUAAACUUCUUUUGUACAGGAAUAAAAGACAUUACGUGUAAUGUAUUGCAUGUACUGUACGAAUAAGCAUCGGCUAACUCCGUGCCAGCAGCCGCGGUAAUACGGAGGAUGCGAGCGUUAUCCGGAUUUAUUGGGUUUAAAGGGUGCGCAGGCGGGAUUUUAAGUCAGCGGUGAAAUUUUCAGGCUCAACCUG
rnacentral:rRNA from 1 species